rnacentral:snoRNA from 1 species
UUCUCCCCUUCCGCAGAGAAUCAUUUCUAUAGUAGUCGUCCCUAGCUCUUGAUUUCUUAAUCAAGCUGCAGAACCUACGCCAGUUGAUGAUCAAUAUCCUCGCUACCCAAGAGUGAAUAUCUCUCUUAUGGCAUGCCUCUGGCUGCCGUUUGCUCUCGACCUGCCCCCAAGGGUGGCGGUUUUCCAAUAUGGAGAACUGUAUAGAGAGUGGUGAUGAUCUCAACCCCGAUCUGUGGUUUCUCGUCCUUGUUGACAGGCCGCCGGGGUGGGUAGUGGUGGAAGUCUGAUGGUC